CUUGAACGCUGGCGGCAGGCUUAACACAUGCAAGUCGAGCGGAGAUGAGGUGCUUGCACCUUAUCUUAGCGGCGGACGGGUGAGUAAUGCUUAGGAAUCUGCCUAUUAGUGGGGGACAACAUUCCGAAAGGAAUGCUAAUACCGCAUACGUCCUACGGGAGAAAGCAGGGGAUCUUCGGACCUUGCGCUAAUAGAUGAGCCUAAGUCGGAUUAGCUAGUUGGUGGGGUAAAGGCCUACCAAGGCGACGAUCUGUAGCGGGUCUGAGAGGAUGAUCCGCCACACUGGGACUGAGACACGGCCCAGACUCCUACGGGAGGCAGCAGUGGGGAAUAUUGGACAAUGGGGGGAACCCUGAUCCAGCCAUGCCGCGUGUGUGAAGAAGGCCUUAUGGUUGUAAAGCAAUUUAAGCGAGGAGGAGGCUACUGAGACUAAUACUCUUGGAUAGUGGACGUUACUCGCAGAAUAAGCACCGGCUAACUCUGUGCCAGCCGCCGCAGUAACAC
rnacentral:rRNA from 1 species